rnacentral:rRNA from 1 species
GUGUCAGCAGCCGCGGUAAUACGAAGGGGGCUAGCGUUGCUCGGAAUUACUGGGCGUAAAGGGCGCGUAGGCGGACAGUUAAGUUGGGGGUGAAAGCCCGGGGCUCAACCUCGGAAAUGCCUUCAAUACUGGCUGUCUUGAGUACGGGAGAGGUGAGUGGAACUCCGAGUGUAGAGGUGAAAUUCGUAGAUAUUCGGAAGAACACCAGUGGCGAAGGCGACUCACUGGCCCGUUACUGACGCUGAGGCGCGAAAGCGUGGGGAGCAAACAGGAUUAGAUACCCUGGUAGUCCACGCCGUAAACGAUGAGUGCUAGUUGUCGGCAUGCAUGCAUGUCGGUGACGCAGCUAACGCAUUAAGCACUCCGCCUGGGGAGUACGGUCGCAAGAUUAAAACUUAAAUGAAUUGACGGGG